AUCACUUCUCGGCCUUUGGGCUAAGAUCAAGUGAAAUAUCUGUCCUCAUCACUUUAAUAUCUGAUAUGUCCUCUAUCAGAGGACAAUAUAUUAAAUGUAUUUUUGGCACAGGGAGAUGCAACUGGAGCUUGCUUCAUCCACUUCACACAUCAACUCAGUUUUGCAGCUCUUCCAGGAAUGGUGCACCAAAA